rnacentral:rRNA from 1 species
UGAGGAAUUUUGCGCAAUGGGCGAAAGCCUGACGCAGCAACGCCGCGUGGGGGAUGAAGGCCUUCGGGUUGUAAACCCCUUUUCUGCGGGAAGAUGAUGACGGUACCGCAGGAAUAAGUCACGGCAAACUACGUGCCAGCAGCCGCGGUAAUACGUAGGUGGCAAGCGUUGUCCGGAUUUACUGGGCGUAAAGAGCGCGUAGGCGGCCUUUUAAGUCUAUGGUGAAAUCUCUCGGCUUAACUGAGAGGGGUCUGUAGAUACUGGAAGGCUUGAGUACCGCAGAGGAAGACGGAAUUCCCGGUGGAGUGGUGAAAUGCGUAGAUAUCGGGAGGAACACCAGAGGCGUAGGCGGUCUUCUGGGCGGUUACUGACGCUGAGGCGCGAAAGCGUGGGGAGCGAACCGG